AGAACGAACGCUGGCGGCGUGGAUAAGACAUGCAAGUCGAGCGGGAUUUCCUUUAGUAGCAAUACCGAAGGAAGUCUAGCGGCGAACGGGUGCUUAACACGUGGGCAACCUGCCAAGAAGUGGGGGAUAGCUCGCCGAAAGGCGAAUUAAUACCGCAUGUGAUUAGAGUGGACAUCCAUUCGAAAUUAAAGUCGGGGCAACCUGACGCUUUUUGUGGGGCCCGCGGCCUAUCAGCUAGUUGGUGAGGUAACGGCCCACCAAGGCUUUGACGGGUAGCUGGUCUGAGAGGACGACCAGCCACACUGGGACUGAGACACGGCCCAGACACCUACGGGUGGCAGCAGUCGAGAAUUUUUCUCAAUGGGGGAAACCCUGAAGGAGCGACGCCGCGUGGAGGAUGAAGGUCUUCGGAUUGUAAAGCCCUUUCGGCGGGGAAGAGUAAUGACGGUACCCGCAGAAGAAGCCCCGGCUAACUUCGCGCCAGCAGCCGC
rnacentral:rRNA from 1 species